rnacentral:lncRNA from 1 species
GAAUCGGAAUGGCGCGCGACUUUGCGAGGUGCCUCCGUGAUCCAAAAAUAGGCCGUGGGCACAGCCGCGCCCAAAAAUAACUGCCCAAAGGUCGUGGCCCCUAGUUCGUCCAGCGGAAAAAUGCCACAAAAACGGGUGGGCUAUAGCGUUGGGGGGUGGGGCUGGCCAAGUUCGUCCGCCGGACUGGGAAUGGCGCGAGACUUUGCGAGGCACCUCUGUGUACAAAAAAUAGGACGCGGGCACAGCCGCAUCCAAAAAUAACUGCCCGAAGGCCGGUACGCCAAGUUCGUCCAGCGGAAAAAGGCCACAAAAACGGGUGGGCUAUAGCCUUGGGGGGUGGGGCUGGCCAACUUCGUCCGCCGGACUCGGAAUGGCGCGAGACUUUGCAAGGCACCUCCGUGUGCCAAAAAUAGGCAGCGGGCACAGCCGCGCCCAAAAAUAACCGCCCGAAGGCCGGGGCGCCAAGUUCGUCCAGCGGAAAAAGGCCACAAAAACGGGUGGGCUAUAGCCUUGGGGGGUGGGGCUGGCCAGCUUCGUCCGCCGGACUCGGAAUGGCGCGAGACUUUGCGAGGCACCUCCGUGUGCCAAAAACAGGCCGCGGACACAGCCGCGCCCAAAAAUAACUGCCAAAGGCCGGGGCGCCAAGUUCGUCCAGCGGAAAAAGGCCACAAAAACGGGUGGGCUAUAGCUUUGGGGGGUGGGGCUGGCCAACUUCGUCCGCCGGACUUGGAAUGGCGCGAGACUUUGCGAGGCACCUCCGUGUGCCAAAAACAGGCCGCGGACACAGCCGCACCCAAAAAUAACUGCCAAAGGCCGGGGCGCCAAGUUCGUCCAGCGGAAAAAGGCCACAAAAACGGGUGGGCUAUAGCGUUGGGGGGUGGGGCUGGCCAAGUUCGUCCGCCGGACUGGGAAUGGCGCGAGACUUUGCGAGGCACCUCUGUGUACAAAAAAUAGGACGCGGGCACAGCCGCAUCCAAAAAUAACUGCCCGAAGGCCGGUACGCCAAGUUCGUCCAGCGGAAAAAGGCCACAAAAACGGGUGGGCUAUAGCCUUGGGGGGUGGGGCUGGCCAACUUCGUCCGCCGGACUCGGAAUGGUGUGAGACUUUGCAAGGCACCUCCGUGUGCCAAAAAUAGGCAGCGGGCACAGCCGCGUCCAAAAAUAACCGCCCGAAGGCCGUGGCGCAAAGUUUCGUCCAGCGGAAAAAGGCCACAAAAACGGGUGGGCUAUAGCCUUGGGGGGUGGGGCUGGCCACUU